UACGUAGGUGGCAAGCGUUGUCCGGAUUUAUUGGGUUUAAAGGGUGCGUAGGCGGCCUAUUAAGUCAGUUCUGAAAUAUCCCGGCUUAACCGGGAGGGUGGGAUUGAUACUGAUGGGCUUGAGUGGAAUCGAGGUAGGCGGAAUUGACGGUGUAGCGGUGAAAUGCUUAGAUAUCGUCAAGAACACCGAUAGUGUAGACAGCUUACUAGACUUCAACUGACGCUGAGGCACGAAAGUGUGGGGAGCAAACAGG
rnacentral:rRNA from 1 species